rnacentral:rRNA from 1 species
UACGUAGGGGGCAAGCGUUGUCCGGAAUUAUUGGGCGUAAAGAGCGUGUAGGCGGCCCGAUUAGUCCGCUGUGAAAGUCCAGGGCUCAACCCUGGAAUGCCGGUGGAUACUGUCGGGCUAGAGUCCGGAAGGGGCGAGUGGAAUUCCUGGUGUAGCGGUGAAAUGCGCAGAUAUCAGGAGGAACACCAAUGGCGAAGGCAGCUCGCUGGGACGUGACUGACGCUGAGACGCGAAAGCGUGGGGAGCAAGCAGG